UGGCUCAGACAGUAAAGAAUCUGCCUGCAAUGCAGAAGACCCAGGUUCAAUCCCUGG
rnacentral:tRNA from 1 species